rnacentral:tRNA from 1 species
GCCCGGAUAGCUCAGUUGGUAGAGCAGCGGACUGAAAAUCCGCGUGUCGGUGGUUCGAAUCCGCCUCCGGGCA